GAUGAAGAACGUAGCGAAAUGCGAUAAGUAGUGUGAAUUACAGAAUUCAGUGAAUCAUCGAAUCUUUGAACGCACAUUGCGCCCUUUGGUAUUCCUUAGGGCAUGCCUGUUCGAGCGUCAUUUAAACCUUCAAGCUCAGCUUGGUGUUGGGUGACUGUCCGCCGUCUCCGGGCGGUCGGACUCGCCUCAAAUUGAUUGGCGGCCGGUACUUUGGCUUCGAGCGCAGCAGAAACGCGAACUCGAGGCCGUCGUCCUGGCUCCCAGAAGCUAUCUUCACAAUUUUGACCUCGGAUCAGGUAGGGAUACCCGCUGAACUUAAGCAUAUCAAUAAGCGGAGGA
rnacentral:misc_RNA from 1 species